rnacentral:rRNA from 1 species
AAUACAUGCAAGUCGAGCGCACCUUCGGGUGAGCGGCGGACGGGUGAGUAACGCGUGGGAACGUGCCCUUUGGUACGGGAUAACUGAGGGAAACUUCAGCUAAUACCGUAUGUGCCCUACGGGGGAAAGAUUUAUCGCCAUUGGAGCGGCCCGCGUUGGAUUAGGUAGUUGGUGGGGUAAAGGCCCACCAAGCCGACGAUCCAUAGCUGGUCUGAGAGGAUGAUCAGCCACACUGGGACUGAGACACGGCCCAGACUCCUACGGGAGGCAGCAGUAGGGAAUCUUGCGCAAUGGGCGAAAGCCUGACGCAGCCAUGCCGCGUGAAUGAUGAAGGUCUUAGGAUUGUAAAAUUCUUUCACCGGGGAAGAUAAUGACGGUACCCGGAGAAGAAGCCCCGGCUAACUUCGUGCCAGCAGCCGCGGUAAUACGAAGGGGGCUAGCGUUGCUCGGAAUUACUGGGCGUAAAGGGCGCGUAGGCGGAUGUUUAAGUCGGGGGUGAAAGCCCGGGGCUCAACCUCGGAAUUGCCUUCGAUACUGGACAUCUUGAGUACGGGAGAGGUGAGUGGAACUCCGAGUGUAGAGGUGAAAUUCGUAGAUAUUCGGAAGACACCAGUGGCGAAGGCGACUCACUGGCCCGUUACUG